UACGAGGGGGGCUAGCGUUGCUCGGAAUCACUGGGCGUAAAGCGCACGUAGGCGGAUUUUUAAGUCAGGGGUGAAAUCCUGGAGCUCAACUCCAGAACUGCCUUUGAUACUGGGAAUCUCGAGUCCGGAAGAGGUGAGUGGAACUGCGAGUGUAGAGGUGAAAUUCGUAGAUAUUCGCAAGAACACCAGUGGCGAAGGCGGCUCACUGGUCCGGUACUGACGCUGAGGUGCGAAAGCGUGGGGAGCAAACAGG
rnacentral:rRNA from 1 species